GUCAACUACCCCGCCCAGAAGGGCGGAGCUUGUGUAGAGCAAGCUGAGUUGACCAGCCUAAGCCCGCCUGACCAGGAGGGUCGAAAGGGGCUACGUGUGCAACAGGUCGUUAAGACUCACCGGCGGAUGCUUCCUCAGUCCGCCGCUCUGAA
rnacentral:sRNA from 21 species